rnacentral:rRNA from 1 species
CCUACGGGUGGCAGCAGUGAGGAAUAUUGGUCAAUGGACGAGAGUCUGAACCAGCCAAGUAGCGUGAAGGAUGACUGCCCUAUGGGUUGUAAACUUCUUUUAUAUGGGAAUAAAAUGUUCCACGUGUGGGAUUUUGUAUGUACCAUAUGAAUAAGGAUCGGCUAACUCCGUGCCAGCAGCCGCGGUAAUACGGAGGAUCCGAGCGUUGUCCGGAUUUAUUGGGUUUAAAGGGAGCGUAGGUGGAUUGUUAAGUCAGUUGUGAAAGUUUGCGGCUCAACCGUAAAAUUGCAGUUGAAACUGGCAGUCUUGAGUACAGUAGAGGUGGGUGGAAUUCGUGGUGUAGCGGUGAAAUGCUUAGAUAUCACGAAGAACUCCGAUUGCGAAGGCAGUUCACUGGACUGCAACUGACACUGAGGCGCGAAAGUGUGGGUAUCAAACAGGAUUAGAUACCCGGGUAGUC